AGGAGGAGGAGGAGGAGGAGGAGGAAGGCUCGCCCUCGUCCCUGGCACGCAGUGGUCCGGGCACCGCAGCCUUCCUCCUCCUCCUCCUCCUCUUCAAAGGAGCAGAUCUCCGACACCCUCCACGCUGGGAGCUGCCUCCCCCCACCCCGGAGCACCCAAGAUGGGGUAGGAGCACCCCCCCCAGCGCACCCAGCACCACCACCCCCAGCCCAGGGUGCACCCAGCAGCACGGGGGAGUGGGGGAUGUAAGCAACCCCCAUGCAGUGCAGCCAGCACCCCCCGGUGGGGGGGAAGGAGAAGGAAGAUGUCCACACCACAGGCAUUUGGAAAGGCACCUUGGGACAUCCCUAAGCAACACCACUUAUUUUGAUCACCUCAUUUCCAAGCCUGAGCUCUGAUUACAGCUGAUGAACCAAACCAAGCAGUGAGGUACCUCCCACCUCCCUCCUUCAGCAAAAAUCAUUACAAAUUUGUAAUACCCCGACACUGAUGAAAAGAAGCAAGUCUUGUUGCCAGAAGUCUGCGAUUGUUCCUUGAUGUCACCAAAUCCAUAAACGUCAUCCAUAAUGAGUGGAAGAGGAAUGUUAUAUUACCUCUAUUACAACAGGGCGACGGAGCAGAACAGCCUCUGUCAGUAUACUGGGGUUUUGUGGGUCACGGAAAGGUUUUAUUUCUCUCUUAGAGCCUUGAAUCCCUGCUUUAAGACAACCAAGGGACACACAAGGCAGCUUUAGAGCUGCUCCUUUUACUUCUCACCCGAUCUAUAUUUUAAGAUGGCUUCUUAGGAGAAGGGCAAACGUAAUAAGCCAGCUACUGUACUUUUUAUAACUCUCAGUCAGGUCUUUGAUUUGGGCCAGCAAGGAAGCUUGUUAGAUCUGAUAAAGCAACUGGGCAUCUCUGGAAAAUGCUAUUAAAAGAACAUGAAACAAAUGAAAAGCUGGGACAGACUCAACGGUAAAUACACGGCCUGGCAGUUCAGCACGGCUACAUCCUGUUUGCCAUUAUUAUUUAAUACUGGCAUCGAUUGCUUGAAGGAUGAGACAGACCAGGCAAUUCUCUGUGGGGUUUACUUGAAUACCAUUUCACUUUGAGAUUAAACAAGCCCACAGGCUUGGAUCACACCGCCUUGUUGGGAAAUUUUAAUUAAUUGAUUUAAUGUCGGGGACUACUGUGGUCAAGCAUUAAACAACACCUCUUUGAUCAUCUACGUGGACAAACCAAGUCCCUGCUAACUAUCAAGCAGUGCCCAACUCCAGGUUUGAACCAGUGCAGCAUUAACCCGCUCCUCUGGAAUAACAACCUGCACAGCCACUCUCCCACAUGCUGGUAGAAUAAGCUGUUCGUACGAAAACAGCUAUUGUCACGGCUCAGGCUCUUUGGUCUUUAUAUGAUAUUUUUUCUGAGAGCCCCCACAGGCUUAGAACAAUUUACACCAGCUCUCCGUUUCACAACAGCCACACAUGGGUACGAAGGGAAGUCUGCAGAGUAAUUAUUUCCACCACCAACGCGUUAGCUGCUCCCCUUUAACGGCAGAACAAGGCUAGUGGCACAGAUAAGGGAGGCUCAACUCAGCAACUACCUCCACCAGGAAUGCUGCAACCCAGCCAGCGGAACUCAGUGCGAGACCACAAAGAAAGGGAAGGUGAUUUUUACUUUGAAGACUGAUUUCACCCAGUCAUUCCUUCAUGCGUGUUCUUGCAUGUUCACAUCUUCACUAGCACCAAGACACGGGUGUCUAAGUGGCCCAGAGAGGUCCGCCUACAGCGAGACAGAAGACAAGUCCUCAGCGUGCCCCUGUGAUUCAUCCUCAGUGGUGAAGACACUGGACGAUGUUUACUGUCUUUAUAUGCUCUCUUAAUACAGGCAGCUCCGCAUCUGCUUGAGUUGCAUCACACUGGUUUUGCUCUACAUCUGUGUUGCGUCAUCUAAGGCAUGGCCUUGCUGCCGCCAGCACUCGUUCCUUCUGCUACGACCUUCCUCUCUGCUCUCCUCUCACUGUUCCCACCCUCCCGAAUUGCAGCAUACGCACCAUUCUUCGCCACGAUGAUUUCUACACAGAACCAUCUGUCUUCCAAAGUCCUCUGCAAGCACCGACCAGUCCCUAGAGACACCUAGGUAUUUAAUUCCCAUUUGAUACACAGGGCAAACAAAAGGCUGAUUUGGCCAGCAGUUUAUUUCCGAGUUGUCCCUGGCAAGGAAGGUCACUUUACGUAGAGCAGAUAAAUUGUCUUACAAACACCCUGCUGGUCCCUGGCUGGAAAUCUGUGGCUACAUGCAUCAGUUCCCAACCUCUAUCUGUCUUUACAACUAAGAACUCUUUCCACCACCACCACCUAAAUCUUUUCCUCAGAGGCAACAGUGAGGAGUUUGGAAGCAGGGUCAUUGCAAAAUAAAAAAAAAAAAAGAUGGAAGGAUGAAGAUGGAAUACCUUUGAGCAGGGGAAGCUUCCUCCCCUGGUUUGGAGGUGUGCAGCACCUUGUGUGUACCUUGUACUGGCAGCACCGUUAAAGAUGCUCAGGAGAGGUCAGCCGAACAGCUCGGAGCACAGCUUUCUCUCCCUGAGACUGAGCAGCUGUCCUGGAACUGGAUGUGGGGCAAAGCUGCAAGGGAACGAGAGGGAGGACAGAGAGCAGCUACUGCCCAUUUUCUACAGGUUCUAACGAACAUUUAUAUUUUUGUCUUACAUGAGCAGGUGUGAAACCUGGCCUGUCUGUCUUUAGAAUUCAGCUCUCUCUCAAGAAGCCAACCAACAAUUUCUCUUUUCAACAACCAUUUUUAUUGCUUUAGACAAUACACCACUGGAGGGGAAAAAAGAAAGAAUUUUCUGCUAUUCUUUACCUUCUUUUCUUUAUUAGAGUAAGUAAAUUCCCUGGGACUAUUGAUAAAAGGUAAACGGUUAACUUUGCAUCUAAGCUGACAACGCAAGUAAAAAGAGUUGGAAAUUCCCCAAAGCAGGCUACUCGUAUAAGAAUAGCGCUGCAAAACUGCCCAAGUAACCGCUCUAUGGAGUAAUUAACUAACAUUUGCAUGGAGAGCAAGUCCUUAGAGCCGUCCCUAACAAGACUGAAAGUCUGUGUCUCAAAAUAACAUAGCAGAGACUCAGGCUUGAAAGUGUCAGCAAGGUUUAGUUCAAGCCAACAGUAAUCAACAAAAAAAUCUUUCCACUGAUUCCAACGGGCUUCGGCUAAGGUCCCUCACACACACACACACACACACGCACACAGAUCUUUGAAAACAGCCAGAAACAGUAUUCCGAAUGCCUUCAACUCCCAGCUCCUGCCGCAGUCCAGCCUUCAUCUCGAAAAUAAAUACACACGUGUUUAACAAUGAAGAAUAUUUACUUUCCUUCAGCUGAUGCAUUCCAUAAAGUGCUAUGUUUCUAAAUUAUACUGAGUUAUAUAUUGCCCUAGUACUUUAAAUACAAUAAAUAUAGAAUGAGCUGUGUGCAACUUCACUUGCAAAUUUUAUUCUUUUUUUAGUAGGCAUACUAAAUUUAGUAAUGAAAAUAGCCUCCCAUAGUACCCCAUGAAAAACUACUAAGAAGUUAUAAAUAACAUCACAUCCUUCAAAGAUAUCCUACGCACUUCUGUCCACGUUGCAUGGCUAAGCGUAGCGUUCCUGCGAGCAUAUGGAGCGAAGAAAAACAAGGAAGCUGAAAAUUACCUAACAAUAAAAAGCAAAACCAUAGAAGUUAAUGCUACAUCUCCUCCCAUAAACAGUCUGUUUUCUACAUUUAAUCUCGGUGCAUACAACCCAGUUCUUCUCUUUUCUUCCUCCCCAUUAAAAAACUCCUCCAGGAAGAACAUCUUGCAAGAUACGGGUUGAUUCAUCUUCAUCUUGCUCCUUUUUACUGCAAAGUGGAAAAGAUUCUUGAACAAAUUGCCUACACAUUGGACACUGCUGAAAAUACUUAACGCAGCCAUCGCACAAGCAGGCGUGCCUGCAGGGCAGGAGUACCCAGUUCACCGGGCCAUUCUGGCAAACAACACAGUCUUUACUGUUUUCUUCAUGCAAUUCUGGCUCAUCUUCAGCCAGUCCGGCCUUUUCUAGCAAGCUUCUGUCAGUGCUCCUCUCACCAGGGGACGUAUCGCUUGAAGAUGGUGCGGUACUAUUCGCAGACAUGAAGAGUUGCUAAAAUACACAUAAACACAAACAUUUAGAAGUCAACAAACUCUACCCCGAUGCCUGAACACACACAGGAAAUGCAAAUUCCACUGGCUUAGGUUCACUGGUUUCCACUGGCUCCUAUAGUGCCAGCCUCACUCUUUGUGUGAGUCCUGACAGUUGCCUGCCCUUCAGUUGAACGUAUUUCAGAUGGAUAAAAUUACAUAGAAUGCUGGGAAAAUAUUAUGGUAAUAGAAAACAGAAUCACAUCAUCAACCACCUGACAGACACAGGACAAAGAUGGUCCCACAACAUGCACAGAUAAGAGAAACCGGAAUGGAAUAAUGAGAAUAUUGAUUGAACUUAUAAUGACAAUCAGGACUUCAACAACAUUGACUUUGGGCACAGAUCAAAAAAAGAGGCUGGACAAGGUGAAAACAGGACGUUGCACCAGAUCGCACUUUGUGGCGCUUCAGCUGUCUGCCCUGGUUCUCCAUGGAGCCCUUCUACGGCCAGUUGACAGCGGGGACCUGCUCUGACUGCUUUCACCUGAUGGACUCAGGCCCCAACCUGAAAAGGCACCUAAGCAUGUGCAGUCCUCCUGAAGCUAACGUCAACAAUGCUACCAGCGGAUAGCGAGAUCUAGGCACCGGGCCAAAAUCGACAACUUGAGCAUCUUCUGGUAACUGACAGUAUUUUUCUUCCUUGUCAUUUUUUUUAAUGCUUUAUAUGUGUCAAGGAAAACAAUCAGUGUGGCUGCAAUUGUAGACAAAUGUGACGUUUGCAUAAAGAAUAUUUUUCAUCGUAUUUGUUCAUAAAUAUAUUGUGCCAAGAACUGCCGAGCAUUCACAAGUCUCAACACUCCCUGUGCCAACAAAUUAGCAUUUUUUGUCAAAACAAUUUUAAAAAAAGGAUACAAGUACUGUUGCCGAUAGAGGUAUUCGCUGUACAGAGCAUCCUCCAACGCCUGAGGAGUCUUUAUUCUGAAGCAGUAGACAUGUUUCUGUAACGCUUCGUGGAGUUUUUGAACGCUGCAGCCCCAGUAGCAUGUAAGAAUACAGUCUUCCAGACAAUCAGGUGUCAGUGUUAUACCCUCUUGUAAAAAGAAGAUAAGGAUUUCAUUGACUCACCCAUGUACAGGAAUUCUGGAACUCCAAAGUGUAGCUUCUUAAACGGCAACAGGCAGAAAACAACUUCAGUGUCCCAGGUUUUAUCAUUAUAAUCUAAUCUUCUAAGAAUUUAGACUAGGUUUAGUGCUUAUGAAAGUCCAUGGAGAUGAGGAAGUGGGUGCGAGGAGAUAAAA